UUUUUCUGAACAUGGAGAAUUUCCAGUCUCCUGCUGCAGAUGAUGGCUGUAACCCCAGAGCCAACUGGUCUGCAAAUCUAGAACAGGACUGAGAGAGAGAGAGCAGUCUUCAUCCAGCUUCAAAGAAAACAUCCAGAUGGGCAGGAUAUCGCUGUCAGGCUGUCCAACCAGCCAACUUCAACAAAAGAACACGGCAGCUCUUGGUGAUCACCACAGACGAAUGUGUUCCUGCAACAUUCAGCAUCUGAUUCUUCUUGGUCUGUCUGCUUCUGCUAUUGUGUCAAACAGCUGCAAAGGAAACCAUCCCAGUGUGCUGUGAUGUUUCCACAGCAUGAGCCAGAUGCUGUUCCUGCCAUUCAUAGUUACAUCACCAGAGACAGCCCUGCCCACCUCAGGACCUCCCUGUGUCAUGUAUGAUUAUGAAGAUGAAAACGAGCAGAACUAAGACUGUAAAAAUCCAUGAACAGAAUGUUGAAAUGCUUUUUAAUUAUUUAUGAAUCAUUUGUAUGUUUGUGUGUUUUGUCUUGUUUUUUGGCAUUGUUACUAACAAAGUUCACCAAACUCAGACAGUUUACAUUCUGUAUGUGUUUUCAUCUUUACCAGCCACACUCUAACUGCAAUUAGGAAGAAAACUUUAGAAAUUGUUGACUCAGUGACUUAGUGACAAAUAUUCAAGUAGUCCAGGUAUUAUCUUUCAUGAGGUAAAUUUGAAAGUCCAGUAUUUCAAAGCAGAUGGAAUUAGGAACAGUACUUUCACUUAUUUACAAAGUGUCAUUGUUCUAGUUAUGUUAAGAAAUAUGCUAUCAAUAAUGCUGUUAGUCAUGUAUAAAUUAGAGAUGACUCUAACUUUACAGAAGCAUACAAAACAAGUACACAACUCACAAUCUAAGCCUUACUAGUCUAAGUCAUCAUAAAUAGUGAUCGUUCGCUAUGAGAGUAUGACAAGCAUUUUUCUUGUUAGUUGGGAAGAUAAUGACCUCAAAAUGUUAGGCUGUUUCUAUUUUGCUUUUUCUUUUUUUUUUUUUUUUUGUUGUUGCUCCUUUUCCUUUUCUUUUACAAUGGAAACUUUAAUCAAAGUUACUCAUGUUCACAACAUGUAAUAAUAUUAUCAGUCCAGGGCAUUGAUGUUUAUUAAGCUAGGGUUAUGUAAUCCAUAUUACUGUUAACAAUAGGAAUUUGUAUUAUAAUUCAAUUUGCAUGUAAUAUUCAUAUUCAGUAUCAGUCCUUUCAUUUUAUAACCACAUAUCCUCCCAGGCUCAUGGUGGGGCAGGGCUCUGUCCUGGGAUCCUUGAGUGAAAGGCAGUGUACAUCCUUAUCAUAAUUGUAUUCAAUAUUUGGUUUAAAGAAUAUGAAUGUAAACAAAAAUCAAAGUAGGAUUCUUGCAAAUGAGAAAAUGGCUGUGUGUAUUCAAGUCUGUCUUUGACUGUAUGGUCCGCCUGAUCCAUCAAACCUCCAGCCAGUAAACCUUAGUCAUGACAUUAUUAAAGGUAACAAUGUAAAAAAUGACACAGUCUGAAUAUAAAGUGCAUUCUAAACUCCACUUCAGUGAAUUAUAUGAAUGUCCAAGGAGUCAUUCAGGCCUGUAAAACAUUAACUAAAAAGCGUGGUCUUUAUCAUUAAACUUGUAGUUGCUUUAUUUUUCUAUUUUAUAUCUGGUACUCUAAAGGUUUUAGUAAAGUUGCAUUGUUAUGGUGAGGCAAAGUGACAGUAUAUAUGUGUGUUAGUGUGUGUGUCACCAACAGCUAUAAAAGGCCUUUUCUUAAGGGAGAAAGUGGGGUUUGAAUCCGAGUUACGGCAGACUGUCGGCACUUUGAAAUGGAACGCAGCCCUCCUACGGUGGACAGCUAACAACAGGAAUCGGAUGCGCCGUCCACCCAAAAACAGCAAACACCAUAGCAACCGCCAAGCAUGACCUUACAACAUAUCCAGUCUUCAUAACUAUCAAAAAUAUGAAAGAAUUAGCAAACAGUGAAAGUGUUACAGCUGCUGAGAGCUAUGGCGGUAUCUUUGGAAGCUGCUAACAUGUAAUAAUGUACAAUGUGAUGUAACCAUGGAGACCAUGACUCAGUCAUGUUAGCUAGCACUGACUGAGGUGAUCAUGUGUACAGCCUCCACAGCACAGGAUAAAGACAUUUCUUGAAUAUAGUUUUGAGGUUAUGGUCAACAUAAAGUAAAUAUAUAUAUAUUUGCUUUCUGUUGACAGUUUCAGCCUACAGAUGUACACUGUCUAAAUAUUAACAGUCGAAGAAUAAAGU